CAGUAGCCACGGGAAUACGGAGGGCGCGAGCGUUACCCGGAUUUACUGGGCGUAAAGGGCGUGUAGGCGGCCUGGGGCGUCCCAUGUGAAAGGCCACGGCUCAACCGUGGAGGAGCGUGGGAUACGCUCAGGCUAGAGGGUGGGAGAGGGUGGUGGAAUUCCCGGAGUAGCGGUGGAAUGCGCAGAUACCGGGAGGAACGCCGAUGGCGAAGGCAGCCACCUGGUCCACUUCUGACGCUGAGGCGCGAAAGCGUGGGGAGCAAACCGGAUUAGAUACCCCCGUAGUCCCUGUCUCUUAUAC
rnacentral:rRNA from 1 species